rnacentral:rRNA from 1 species
UACGUAGGGGGCAAGCGUUAUCCGGAUUUACUGGGUGUAAAGGGAGCGUAGACGGCAUGGCAAGCCAGAUGUGAAAUACCGGGGCUCAACCCCGGGACUGCAUUUGGAACUGUUAAGCUGGAGUGUCGGAGAGGCAGGCGGAAUUCCUAGUGUAGCGGUGAAAUGCGUAGAUAUUAGGAGGAACACCAGUGGCGAAGGCGGCCUGCUGGACGAUAACUGACGGUGAGGCGCGAAAGCGUGGGGAGCAAACAGG